rnacentral:rRNA from 1 species
AUCGAACGCUGGCGGCAGGCCUAACACAUGCAAGUCGAACGAUCCUUUCGGGCUUAUUGGCGUACGGGUGAGGAACGCCGGGGGACGUGGCUUUAUGUUCGGAAUAGCUCAGUGGAACGUGUUCUAAUCUCGAAUGUGUCCUUCAUGCGGAAUAUUGGUGCCCUUUAGAACGGCGCGCGUCUGGUGAGCUAUGUGGUUGAGUUAAUGGCGCACCAAGGCGACACUCGGUAGCGGGUCUGAGAGGAUUAUCCGCUACAUUGGGACUGAGACACGGUCCAAAAUACUACGGGAGGGAGGAGUGGGGAAUCCUGCGAAACGGGCGAAAGCCUGAAGCAGCUAUGCCGGGUGAAUGAUGAAGGCGUUAGGAUAGUAAAAUUAUUUAACCGCGGACGAUAAUGACGGUACCCGGAGAAGAAGCCCCGGCUAACUCCGUG